UCUUUCUUUGCUGGCGACCGGCGCACGGGUGAGUAACACUAUCCAACCUGCCCUUUACUCGGGGAUAGCCUUUCGAAAGAAAGAUUAAUACCCGAUAGUAUAAUGAUUCCGCAUGGUUUCAUUAUUAAAGGAUUCCGGUAAAGGAUGGGGAUGCGUUCCAUUAGGUUGUUGGUGAGGUAACGGCUCACCAAGCCUUCGAUGGAUAGGGGUUCUGAGAGGAAGGUCCCCCACAUUGAAACUGAGACACGGUCCAA
rnacentral:rRNA from 1 species